AUUGAACGCUGGCGGCAGGCCUAACACAUGCAAGUCGAGCGAGCGGCGGCCGGGUGAGUAAUGUCUGGGAAACUGCCUGAUGGAGGGGGAUAACUACUGGAAACGGUAGCUAAUACCGCAUACCAUCAGAUGUGCCCAGAUGGGAUUAGCUAGUAGGUGGGGUAACGGCCCACCUAGGCGACGAUCCCUAGCUGGUCUGAGAGGAUGACCAGCCACAAUGGAACAGAGAAACGGACCAGACGCCUACGGAAGGCAGCAGUGGGGAAUAUUGCACAAUGGGCGAAAGCCUGAUGCAGCCAUGCCGCGAGUGUGAAGAAGGCCUUAGGGUUGUAAAGCACUUUCAGCGAGGAGGCGUUACCCGCAGAAGAAGCACCGGCUAACUCCGUGCCAGCCGCCGCGGUAAUUC
rnacentral:rRNA from 1 species